rnacentral:rRNA from 1 species
AGAGUUUGAUCAUGGCUCAGGAUGAACGCUAGCGGCAGGCCUAAUACAUGCAAGUCGAGGGGCAGCAGUACUUUUCGGAGUAGCUGGCGACCGGCGCACGGGUGCGUAACGCGUAUGCAAUCUACCUACAGCAGAGGGAUAGCCCGUGGAAACAUGGAUUAAUACCUCAUAAUACAGGGGGCCCACCUGGGCAUAUUGUUAAAGAUUUAUCGGCUGUAGAUGAGCAUGCGUCCCAUUAGCUAGUUUGUACGGUAACGGCGUACCAAGGCGAUGAUGGGUAGGGGUUCUGAGAGGAUGAUCCCCCACACUGGUACUGAGAUACGGACCAGACUCCUACGGGAGGCAGCAGUAGGGAAUAUUGGUCAAUGGACGAGAGUCUGAACCAGCCAUGCCGCGUGCAGGAAGACGGCCUUCUGGGUUGUAAACUGCUUUUCUCAGGGAAGAAAAUGGUCUUGCGAGACAAAUUGCCGGUACCUGAGGAAUAAGCACCGGCUAACUCCGUGCCAGCAGCCGCGGUAAUACGGAGGGUGCGAGCGUUGUCCGGAUUUAUUGGGUUUAAAGGGUGCGUAGGCGGCCUAUUAAGUCAGUGGUGAAAGGUAUCAGCUUAACUGAUGAUGUGCCAUUGAAACUGACAGGCUUGAGUACAGACGAGGUAGGCGGAAUUUAUGGUGUAGCGGUGAAAUGCAUAGAUACCAUAAAGAACACCGAUAGCGAAGGCAGCUUACUAGGCUGAGACUGACGCUGAGGCACGAAAGCGUGGGGAGCGAACAGGAUUAGAUACCCUGGUAGUCCACGCUGUAAACGAUGAUUACUGGAUGUGUGCGAUAAACAGUACGCGCCUGAGCGAAAGCGUUAAGUAAUCCACCUGGGGGAGUACGAUCGC